rnacentral:rRNA from 1 species
AUUGAACGCUGGCGGCAUGCUUUACACAUGCAAGUCGAACGGUAACAGGUUAAGCUGACGAGUGGCGAACGGGUGAGUAAUGCAUCGGAACGUGCCCGGUCGUGGGGGAUAACACUUCGAAAGAAGUGCUAAUACCGCAUACGAUCUGAGGAUGAAAGCGGGGGACCGUAAGGCCUCGCGCGAUCGGAGCGGCCGAUGUCAGAUUAGGUAGUUGGUGGGGUAAAGGCCUACCAAGCCGACGAUCUGUAGCUGGUCUGAGAGGACGACCAGCCACACUGGGACUGAGACACGGCCCAGACUCCUACGGGAGGCAGCAGUGGGGAAUUUUGGACAAUGGGCGCAAGCCUGAUCCAGCAAUGCCGCGUGCAGGAAGAAGGCCUUCGGGUUGUAAACUGCUUUUGUACGGAGCGAAAAGGCUCUCUCUAAUACAGGGGGCUGAUGACGGUACCGUAAGAAUAAGCACCGGCUAACUACGUGCCAGCCGCCGCGGUAA